rnacentral:rRNA from 1 species
GACGAACGCUGGCGGCGUGCUUAACACAUGCAAGUCGAACGGAAAGGCCCUGCUUUUGUGGGGUGCUCGAGUGGCGAACGGGUGAGUAACACGUGAGUAACCUGCCCUUCACUUUGUGAUAACUUCAGGCAACUGGGUCUAAUACCGGAUAGGAUCUCCUGCUUCAUGGUGGGGGUUGGUAAGUUUCGGUGGUUGGGUAUGUACUCGCCGGUUAUCAGCUUGUUGGUGGGGUAGUGGCUUACCAAGGCUUGGAGGGGUAGCCGGCCUGUGAGGGGGACCGGCUACGUUGGGACGGAGAUACGGCACAGACUCCAACGGGAGGCAGGAGUGGGGAAUAGAGCAAAAUGGGAGGAAGCCUGAUGCAGCAAAGCCGCGUGCGGGAUGACGGCAUUCGGGUUGUAAACCGAUGUCGCCUGUGACGAAGCGUGAGUGACGGUAAUGGGUAAAGAAGCACCGGCUAACUACGUG